CCUACGGGCGGCAGCAGUGGGGAACAUUGCACAAUGGGCGCAAGCCUGAUGCAGCCAUGCCGCGUGCGUGAAGAAGGCCUUCGGGUUGUAAAGCACUUUCAGCGGGGAGGAAGGCGGUGAGGUUAAUAACCUCAUCGAUUGACGUUACCCGCAGAAGAAGCACCGGCUAACUCCGUGCCAGCAGCCGCGGUAAUACGGAGGGUGCAAGCGUUAAUCGGAAUUACUGGGCGUAAAGCGCACGCAGGCGGUCUGUCAAGUCGGAUGUGAAAUCCCCGGGCUCAACCUGGGAACUGCAUUCGAAACUGGCAGGCUAGAGUCUUGUAGAGGGGGGUAGAAUUCCAGGUGUAGCGGUGAAAUGCGUAGAGAUCUGGAGGAAUACCGGUGGCGAAGGCGGCCCCCUGGACAAAGACUGACGCUCAGGUGCGAAAGCGUGGGGAGCAAACAGGAUUAGAUACCCGAGUAGUC
rnacentral:rRNA from 1 species